ACAUCGCCUCUUGCAUCCCAAAGUAUAAGAGGUCCCACCUGCCCUGUGACUCUAAGUUUAACGGCCGCGGUAUUCUAACCGUGCGAAGGUAGCGCAAUCAAUUGCCUUUUAAAUGAAGGCCUGUAUGAAUGGUAUAACGAGGGUCUGACUGUCUCUUUUUUCUAGUCAGUUAAACUGAUCUGUCCGUGCAGAAGCGGACAUUAUUAUACAAGACGAGAAGACCCUAUGGAGCUUUAGACACUAGCCAACUGUGAAUGAGCGACUGAACUAUACAAGUCUUAAAUACCCACAGCCUCUGGUAAUGUAGUCUUAGGUUGGGGCGACCACGGGAGAAAAUAAAGCUCCCAAGCAGACCGGGAAAACCCUUAAGCCCAGAGUUGCAACUCUAAGCCGCAAAAAUUUUGACUGAAAUGAUCCGGUUGAAAAACCGAUUAACGAACCAAGUUACCCUAGGGAUAACAGCGCAAUCCUCUCCCAGAGUCCCUAUCGACGAGGGGGUUUACGACCUCGAUGUUGGAUCAGGACAUCCUAAUGGUGCAGCCGCUAUUAAGGGUUCGUUUGUUCAACGAUUAAAGUCCUACGUGAUCU
rnacentral:rRNA from 1 species